UGGAUUAGUGGCGAACGGGUGAGUAACACGUGAGCAAUCUGCCCUUCACUCUGGGACAAGCUCUGGAAACGGAAUCUAAUACCGGAUAACACUCCUGCCUGCAUGUGCAGCAGUUAAAAGCUCCGUCGGUGAAGGAUGAGCUCGCGGCCUAUCAGCUAGUUGGUGAGGUAAUGGCUUACCAAGGCGACGACGGGUAGCCGGCCUGAGAGGGCGACCGGCCACACUGGGACUGAGACACGGCCCAGACUCCUACGGGAGGCAGCAGUGGGGAAUAUUGCACAAUGGGCGAAAGCCUGAUGCAGCGACGCCGCGUGAGGGAUGACGGCCUUCGGGUUGUAAACCUCUUUCAGCAGGGAAGAAGCGAAAGUGACGGUACCUGCAGAAGAAGCGCCGGCUAACUACGUGCCAGCAGCCGCGGUAAUACGUAGGGCGCGAGCGUUGUCCGGAAUUAUUGGGCGUAAAGAGCUCGUAGGCGGCUUGUCACGUCGGAUGUGAAAGCCCGGGGCUUAACCCCGGGUCUGCAUUCGAUACGGGCUAGCUAGAGUGUGGUAGGGGAGAUCGGAAUUCCUGGUGUAGCGGUGAAAUGCGCAGAUAUCAGGAGGAACACCGGUGGCGAAGGCGGAUCUCUGGGCCAUUACUGACGCUGAGGAGCGAAAGCGUGGGGAGCGAACAGGAUUAGAUACCCUGGUAGUCCACGCCGUAAACGUU
rnacentral:rRNA from 1 species